GACGAAGGGGGCUAGCGUUGUUCGGAAUUACUGGGCGUAAAGCGUGUGUAGGUGGUUGUCAUAGUCAGGCGUGAAAGCCUUGAGCUCAACUCAAGAAAUGCGCUUGAUACUGGGCAGCUAGAGGACCGGAGAGGAUAGUGGAAUUCACAGUGUAGUGGUGAAAUACGUAGAGAUUGGGAAGAACACCAGUGGCGAAGGCGGCUAUCUGGACGGUUUCUGACACUAAGACACGAAAGCGUGGGGAGCAAACAGG
rnacentral:rRNA from 1 species